GGUCUGAUCAGUGGCGAACGGGUGAGUAACACGUGAGCAACCUACCCCUUACUCUGGGAUAAGCCUUGGAAACGAGGUCUAAUACCGGAUACGAGACGCACGGGCAUCUGUAGCGUCUGGAAAGAUUUAUCGGUGGGGGAUGGGCUCGCGGCCUAUCAGCUUGUUGGUGGGGUAAUGGCCCACCAAGGCGACGACGGGUAGCCGGCCUGAGAGGGCGACCGGCCACACUGGGACUGAGACACGGCCCAGACUCCUACGGGAGGCAGCAGUGGGGAAUAUUGCACAAUGGGCGAAAGCCUGAUGCAGCGACGCCGCGUGCGGGAUGACGGCCUUCGGGUUGUAAACCGCUUUCAGCAGGGAAGAAGCGAGAGUGACGGUACCUGCAGAAGAAGCGCCGGCUAACUACGUGCCAGCAGCCGCGGUAAUACGUAGGGCGCAAGCGUUGUCCGGAAUUAUUGGGCGUAAAGAGCUCGUAGGCGGUUUGUCACGUCUGCUGUGAAAACCUCAGGCUCAACCUGGGGCUUGCAGUGGGUACGGGCAGACUAGAGUGCGGUAGGGGUGACUGGAAUUCCUGGUGUAGCGGUGGAAUGCGCAGAUAUCAGGAGGAACACCGAUGGCGAAGGCAGGUCACUGGGCCGCAACUGACGCUGAGGAGCGAAAGCAUGGGGAGCGAACAGGAUUAGAUACCCUGGUAGUCCAUGCCGUAAACGUUGGGCACUAGGUGUGGGGUCCAUUCCACGGAUUCCGUGCCGCAGCAAACGCAUUAAGUGCCCCGCCUGGGGAGUACGGCCGCAAGGCUAAAACUCAAAGAAAUUGACGGGGGCCCGCACAAGCGGCGGAGCAUGCGGAUUAAUUCGAUGCAACGCGAAGAACCUUACCAAGGCUUGACAUACACCGGAAAAGUGCAGAGAUGUGCUCCCCGCAAGGUCGGUGUACAGGUGGUGCAUGGUUGUCGUCAGCUCGUGUCGUGAGAUGUUGGGUUAAGUCCCGCAACGAGCGCAACCCUCGUCCCAUGUUGCCAGCGGGUUAUGCCGGGGACUCAUGGGAGACUGCCGGGGUCAACUCGGAGGAAGGUGGGGAUGACGUCAAAUCAUCAUGCCCCUUAUGUCUUGGGCUUCACGCAUGCUACAAUGGCCGGUACAAAGGGCUGCGAUACCGCGAGGUGGAGCGAAUCCCAAAAAGCCGGUCUCAGUUCGGAUUGGGGUCUGCAACUCGACCCCAUGAAGUCGGAGUCGCUAGUAAUCGCAGAUCAGCAACGCUGCGGUGAAUACGUUCCCGGGCCUUGUACACACCGCCCGUCAAGUCAUGAAAGUCGGUAACACCCG
rnacentral:rRNA from 1 species